rnacentral:rRNA from 1 species
GGGAGUGAAAAAGAACCUGAAACCGUGUACGUACAAGCAGUGGGAGCCUCUUUAUGGGGUGACUGCGUACCUUUUGUAUAAUGGGUCAGCGACUUAUAUUCUGUAGCAAGGUUAACCGAAUAGGGGAGCCGAAGGGAAACCGAGUCUUAACUGGGCGUUAAGUUGCAGGGUAUAGACCCGAAACCCGGUGAUCUAGCCAUGGGCAGGUUGAAGGUUGGGUAACACUAACUGGAGGACCGAACCGACUAAUGUUGAAAAAUUAGCGGAUGACUUGUGGCUGGGGGUGAAAGGCCAAUCAAACCGGGAGAUAGCUGGUUCUCCCCGAAAGCUAUUUAGGUAGCGCCUCGUGAAUUCAUCUCCGGGGGUAGAGCACUGUUUCGGCAAGGGGGUCAUCCCGACUUACCAACCCGAUGCAAACUGCGAAUACCGGAGAAUGUUAUCACGGGAGACACACGGCGGGUGCUAACGUCCGUCGUGAAGAGGGAAACAACCCAGACCGCCAGCUAAGGUCCCAAAGUCAUGGUUAAGUGGGAAACGAUGUGGGAAGGCCCAGACAGCCAGGAUGUUGGCUUAGAAGCAGCCAUCAUUUAAAGAAAGCGUAAUAGCUCACUGGUCGAGUCGGCCUGCGCGGAAGAUGUAACGGGGCUAAACCAUGCACCGAAGCUGCGGCAGCGACGCUUAUGCGUUGUUGGGUAGGGGAGCGUUCUGUAAGCCUGUGAAGGUGUGCUGUGAGGCAUGCUGGAGGUAUCAGAAGUGCGAAUGCUGACAUAAGUAACGAUAAAGCGGGUGAAAAGCCCGCUCGCCGGAAGACCAAGGGUUCCUGUCCAACGUUAAUCGGGGCAGGGUGAGUCGACCCCUAAGGCGAGGCCGAAAGGCGUAGUCGAUGGGAAACAGGUUAAUAUUCCUGUACUUGGUGUUACUGCGAAGGGGGGACGGAGAAGGCUAUGUUGGCCGGGCGACGGUUGUCCCGGUUUAAGCGUGUAGGCUGGUUUUCCAGGCAAAUCCGGAAAAUCAAGGCUGAGGCGUGAUGACGAGGCACUACGGUGCUGAAGCAACAAAUGCCCUGCUUCCAGGAAAAGCCUCUAAGCAUCAGGUAACAUCAAAUCGUACCCCAAACCGACACAGGUGGUCAGGUAGAGAAUACCAAGGCGCUUGAGAGAACUCGGGUGAAGGAACUAGGCAAAAUGGUGCCGUAACUUCGGGAGAAGGCACGCUGAUAUGUAGGUGAAGCGACUUGCUCGUGGAGCUGAAAUCAGUCGAAGAUACCAGCUGGCUGCAACUGUUUAUUAAAAACACAGCACUGUGCAAACACGAAAGUGGACGUAUACGGUGUGACGCCUGCCCGGUGCCGGAAGGUUAAUUGAUGGGGUUAGCGGUAACGCGAAGCUCUUGAUCGAAGCCCCGGUAAACGGCGGCCGUAACUAUAACGGUCCUAAGGUAGCGAAAUUCCUUGUCGGGUAAGUUCCGACCUGCACGAAUGGCGUAAUGAUGGCCAGGCUGUCUCCACCCGAGACUCAGUGAAAUUGAACUCGCUGUGAAGAUGCAGUGUACCCGCGGCAAGACGGAAAGACCCCGUGAACCUUUACUAUAGCUUGACACUGAACAUUGAGCCUUGAUGUGUAGGAUAGGUGGGAGGCUUUGAAGUGUGGACGCCAGUCUGCAUGGAGCCGACCUUGAAAUACCACCCUUUAAUGUUUGAUGUUCUAACGUUGGCCCCUGAUCGGGGUUGCGGACAGUGUCUGGUGGGUAGUUUGACUGGGGCGGUCUCCUCCUAAAGAGUAACGGAGGAGCACGAAGGUUGGCUAAUCCUGGUCGGACAUCAGGAGGUUAGUGCAAUGGCAUAAGCCAGCUUGACUGCGAGCGUGACGGCGCGAGCAGGUGCGAAAGCAGGUCAUAGUGAUCCGGUGGUUCUGAAUGGAAGGGCCAUCGCUCAACGGAUAAAAGGUACUCCGGGGAUAACAGGCUGAUACCGCCCAAGAGUUCAUAUCGACGGCGGUGUUUGGCACCUCGAUGUCGGCUCAUCACAUCCUGGGGCUGAAGUAGGUCCCAAGGGUAUGGCUGUUCGCCAUUUAAAGUGGUACGCGAGCUGGGUUUAGAACGUCGUGAGACAGUUCGGUCCCUAUCUGCCGUGGGCGCUGGAGAACUGAGGGGGGCUGCUCCUAGUACGAGAGGACCGGAGUGGACGCAUCACUGGUGUUCGGGUUGUCAUGCCAAUGGCACUGCCCGGUAGCUAAAUGCGGAAGAGAUAAGUGCUGAAAGCAUCUAAGCACGAAACUUGCCCCGAGAUGAGUUCUCCCUGAGACUUUAAGUCUCCUGAAGGAACGUUGAAGACGACGACGUUGAUAGGCCGGGUGUGUAAGCGCAGCGAUGCGUUGAGCUAACCGGUACUAAUGAACCGUGAGGCUUAACCUUACAACGCCGAAGGUGUUU